rnacentral:rRNA from 1 species
UACGUAGGGGGCAAGCGUUGUCCGGAAUCAUUGGGCGUAAAGCGCGCGUAGGCGGCCCUGUAAGUCCGUUGUGAAAGUCAAAGGCUCAACCUUUGAAAGCCGAUGGAUACUGCAGGGCUAGAGUCCGGAAGAGGCGAGUGGAAUUCCUGGUGUAGCGGUGGAAUGCGUAGAUAUUGGGAGGAACACCGGUGGCGAAGGCGGCCCCCUGGACCGGUACUGACGCUGAGGCGCGAAAGCGUGGGUAGCAAACGGG